UACGUAGGGACCAAGCGUUGUUCGGAUUUACUGGGCGUAAAGGGCGCGUAGGCGGCAAUUCAAGUCAGCUGUGAAAUCUCCGAGCUUAACUCGGAACGGUCAGCUGAUACUGUUUUGCUAGAGUACAGAAGGGGCAAUCGGAAUUCUUGGUGUAGCGGUGAAAUGCGUAGAUAUCAAGAGGAACACCUGAGGUGAAGACGGGUUGCUGGGCUGAUACUGACGCUGAGGCGCGAAGGCCAGGGGAGCAAACGGG
rnacentral:rRNA from 1 species